UAAUACAGAGGUGGCUAGCGUUGUUCGGAUUUAUUGGGCGUAAAGGGUCCGUAGGCGGCCCGGAAAGUCGGAUGUGAAAUCCUACAGCUCAACUGUAGAACUGCAUUCGAUACUGUCGGGCUAGAGUGCGAGAGGGGUAAAGGGAAUUCCCGGUGUAAGGGUGAAAUCUGCAGAGAUCGGGAGGAACACCAGUCGCGAAGGCGCUUUACUGGCUCGCCACUGACGCUGAGGGACGAAAGCUAGGGUAGCAAACGGGAUUAGAUACCCCGGUAGUCCUAGCCGUAAAUGAUGGUCACUAGGUGUUGGGGGGGUUAAACCCUUCAGUGCCGUCGCUUACGCAUUAAGUGACCCGCCUGGGGAGUACGGUCGCAAGGCUG
rnacentral:rRNA from 1 species